rnacentral:tRNA from 1 species
GGGCCCGUAGCUCAAUUGGGAGAGCGCUCGGUACGGGACCGAGAGGUUGCAGGUUCAAAUCCUGCCGGGCACC